ACGUAUGGAGCAAGCGUUAUCCGGAUUUACUGGGUGUAAAGGGAGUGUAGGUGGCCAGGCAAGUCAGAAGUGAAAGCCCGGGGCUCAACCCUGGGACUGCUUUUGAAACUGCAGGGCUAGAGUGCAGGAGGGGCAAGUGGAAUUCCUAGUGUAGCGGUGAAAUGCGUAGAUAUUAGGAGGAACACCAGUGGCGAAGGCGGCUUGCUGGACUGUAACUGACACUGAGGCUCGAAAGCGUGGGGAGCAAACAG
rnacentral:rRNA from 1 species